GACAGUGUCUGGUGGGUAGUUUGACUGGGGCGGUCUCCUCCUAAAGAGUAACGGAGGAGCACGAAGGUUGGCUAAUCCUGGUCGGACAUCAGGAGGUUAGUGCAAUGGCAUAAGCCAGCUUGACUGCGAGCGUGACGGCGCGAGCAGGUGCGAAAGCAGGUCAUAGUGAUCCGGUGGUUCUGAAUGGAAGGGCCAUCGCUCAACGGAUAAAAGGUACUCCGGGGAUAACAGGCUGAUACCGCCCAAGAGUUCAUAUCGACGGCGGUGUUUGGCACCUCGAUGUCGGCUCAUCACAUCCUGGGGCUGAAGUAGGUCCCAAGGGUAUGGCUGUUCGCCAUUUAAAGUGGUACGCGAGCUGGGUUUAGAACGUCGUGAGACAGUUCGGUCCCUAUCUGCCGUGGGCGCUGGAGAACUGAGGGGGGCUGCUCCUAGUACGAGAGGACCGGAGUGGACGCAUCACUGGUGUUCGGGUUGUCAUGCCAAUGGCACUGCCCGGUAGCUAAAUGCGGAAGAGAUAAGUGCUGAAAGCAUCUAAGCACGAAACUUGCCCCGAGAUGAGUUCUCCCUGAGACUUAGAGUCUCCUGAAGGAACGUUGAAGACGACGACGUUGAUAGGCCGGGUGUGUAAGCGCAGCGAUGCGUUGAGCUAACCGGUACUAAUGAACCGUGAGGCUUAACCUUACAACGCCGAA
rnacentral:rRNA from 1 species